CCAGCAUUCCCAGGUAGGCCAAGGUGUCCUACAGAAGAACCUUGGGUAACACCUACACGGGGGUCUGG
rfam:Sarcophilus harrisii ctg7180002205689, whole genome shotgun sequence.